UCGUCCGUAAAACUAUAGACGAU
rnacentral:snRNA from 1 species